rnacentral:rRNA from 1 species
AGUGAACGCUGGCGGUAGGCCUAACACAUGCAAGUCGAACGGCAGCACAGUAAGAGCUUGCUCUUACGGGUGGCGAGUGGCGGACGGGUGAGGAAUACAUCGGCAUCUACUUUUUCGUGGGGGAUAACGUAGGGAAACUUACGCUAAUACCGCAUACGACCUACGGGUGAAAGCAGGGGAUCUUCGGACCUUGCGCGAUUGAAUGAGCCGAUGUCGGGUUAGCUAGUUGGCGGGGUAACGGCCCACCAAGGCGACGAUCCGUAGCUGGUCUGAGAGGAUGAUCAGCCACACUGGAACUGAGACACGGUCCAGACUCCUACGGGAGGCAGCAGUGGGGAAUAUUGGACAAUGGGCGCAAGCCUGAUCCAGCCAUACCGCGUGGGUGAAGAAGGCCUUCGGGUUGUAAAGCCCUGUUGUUGGGAAAGAAAAGCAGCAGGUUAAUACCCCGCUGUUCUGACGGUACCCAAAGAAUAAGCACCGGCUAACUUCGUG